UUUUUGUGGCACCUUUCUCUGUAGUAGUGAACUGCCUUGAUGUGUGAGGUUAAUAAUAAAAUUGAGGAUCUUUAGUCAUUAGGGAAAUAAAAAUCUGAACUACAUUGAAGCUGAGUGUGGUGGUACACACCUUUAACCCCAGCACUCUUGGGGCUUGAGGCAGUAGGAUCACAAAUUCAAGCCCAGCCUGGGUUAUUUAAUGAUUUGGUGAAACAAUGUCUCAGAAUGAAAACAAAACAAAAAAACAGCUGCAGAUAUAGCUCAGUCCCAUGGCCUUGAAUUUGUUCUCCAGAAUAGAACAACCAAAAGGCAUCAUGUGCACUAGGCAAACACUACCACUCAGCUACACCCCAGACCUAUUUCUUCAUUUAAAACCAUGGAAUCUGUUGUCACAGAUUAAAGUGUUUUCCACUGUCAAGGACUAUGCUAGGCACUGUUGUAUAACUACUGAAUAUCUACUAUCUCUUUUACUUUGUCAACAGAAGUCCAGGUUUUAUCCAUUAUCUGUGCUUCAGUGAUGGUGACAGUUACUUACUGAAGUAGUAAAUCCUGAUUAGUCUAAACUAAUCAUACUAAGUUCUUUCUUUUCGCUAGUGUUUGCAAUAUGGACGUAUAACUCAAUUUUCAUGAAUAAUAUUAACAGGGAUGUUUUGAUGUGGGUCUUUUUGAAGUUGUUUACUUAACCUUUGAACAUAUCCUCAGGAUGAUAUAGUUUCUUCUCUGGUUGUGGUUAUAUGUAGAUGUUUUGGCUGGAAAUGCAGCAAUUAUCUUAUGACUGUGAGAAGAAUAAACUUGAGAACAAAAUAGACACUGCAUGGCAGACCAGAAAGAUGGAAAAAACCUUGUCCUUAAAUUAUUUUUGAGACACUAAAAGAAUGCAAGAAAACAAACAAAAAUCCCUGGAGCCACCUGACCCUGGCACUUUUCAAUAAUGUGAUAAACAUUUUUUAAAACAGUGCAUGCUUUUUGGAGGACUUUGUGUUCCAUAUAGCUCAAAACAUACAGUUACUCCAAAACACAGGUCAUUUCCUCUUCAUUUCUGGUACUGCACACAUUACUGCCUACUCAGCUCCACCAGUUCAGUUUGGUGCCACAAGAGUUGCACAAUGCAGUUCUAUGUAUGUCUCUGCAUUUAUGUGCCAUCUGCUAUGUUCACAUCUCUGAUUUCUGAUUCCUUCAACUCUAUUCAUUUUUAUUUUUCAAUUUUUUUUAUUUUAAAGAGAAUAAAGCAAAGCAAAGCAAAACAAAGCAGAGAAGUGUAAAACAAUGCAAAUAACACAAGAUUUCAGCAAAAAGACAGCAGGAAAUCAAUAAUGGCUACCAUAAUGUCUCUUGUUUUCUUCAAUAUAGUUUCCCAUAGUUUCAUACACAAUAAGUUUAUACACACCAAAAUAGUAUAAAAGCAAUCAAAAGAAUGAGAGUCUUAAAGGUGUUCAAGGCUCUUGUUUUCUUCAAAAUAGCUGUCCAUAUCUUUAUAUGGACAAUCAAAUAUCUGUCCAUAUCUUUAUAUUGCAAUCAAAUAAUGUAAAACAGACUAAAACCAAUCAAAACCAAGAAUAAAAGCAUUAUUGGCUUUACAAUCAAAAUGAGGAAAUCACCAAUGGCUACCAUGGUGUCUCAUUUUCUUCACUGUAGUUGUUCAUACUAUCACACAUAUUAAAAUCAAUUAUUGUUUACACUUUAAGUGAAAAUCUAGGCAUGUAUAAGCCUAUACAUGUACAUCUAUCCCUUUUGUACUGCCGAGAAAAACAAACAACAAUUAAAUAACUAUAACUAAGAGCCCAAAGUAAUAACAAUGUAGGCUUUCAAAACAAGGUGAUAGGAACAUAACACUUUUUAUUGUUUUGCAUAGUUAUCUUCAUAAGUCUUAUUCAAAUUACCAGAUCUAUUUAUGAAAAUUGAUCUAAUCCUAUGAAUCUAAUUCUAUGGGUAGUUAAUUUUUUUCUACCUUUUCCUAUUUGGAGUGUAGUUUCUUCACAUUAAAAUUUCAGCCAUAACUGACCCCAUGCAUCCAGCUGUUCUCACAGGCUUUCUAUAAAAUUACCCCUUGCACUAAUGCCAGAACCUUGUAUCAUAAGAGGCACUCUUUCUUUAUUUACUAUUUUUUACAGAAAAAAAGAAAGAAAAAAACAGACAAAACAGAAAAAUGGGUUCAUAAUUUCGAAGAAACAUAUUAACACUAAGAAAUCACUAGUUGGUAAGUUACAUAUUGUCAUCUUAGAAAUAGUUGUUCAAGUUAGAAAAUCAAAGCAUAAAAAGUGACUAGGCACUCAAACAUUCACGGUGGAAAAAAAUCUGUUCAACAAUCUAAUGAAAACUUAGUAAUAUGGUAAUCUGUGUUACACACUUAAACAUACAUAUAGUUGUACCAUUUAGAGCACUUUCCCUCCCCUUCAUGUUGACAAUAUCUAUUAUACAUUUUGGAUCUUAUCAUUCUUUCAGUUUUUAAAUUAUUUUUUUCACACUUGAGAGACAAUGUGGUUCUUACAAAGGUGGGUCUUAUCUAUUUCACUUAUGAGGAUAGUCUCAUGUUGCUUCCAUUUACCUUUAAAGGCCUCAAGAUUAUGCUUUUUUAUAAGCUGAGCAGUAUUCCAGUGUAUAAAAAUACCACAUCUUUUUCAUCCACUUUGCAGUUGAUGGGCCUUUUGGUUGUGUUCAAGAUUUAGGUCACUUUUUGAAUGUCAUUCUAAAUACUUUAAUUCUACAACCUGAACAGCUAUUUCGAAGAUGACAAUGUGUAACUUACCAACCGGCAAUUUCUUACCUUUUGUUUGUCUGUAAUUUUGUAUUAUUUCUACCCUUUUUUUUAAUCUCCAUGUAUUUUUUUCGUUUCCUUUUCUUUAAAUAAAAAAAAAAGAUUUAGCUAUUACAAAGUGUGCUGCUAUAAACAUGGGUGCAAAUACAUCACUGUGACAUGAUUUUUUCCAUGCUUCUGGGAAAAUACCCAGGAGGGAAAUAGCUGGCUUUAAUGGAACUUCCAAUCCUAGUUUUUUUUGAGAAAUCUCCAUGCUGCUUUCCACAGUGGCUGCACCAGUCUACACUCCCACCAACAGUGGAGAAGCAUUCCUUUUUCCACACAGCCUCACCAACAUUUAUUAUCAGUUGAUUUAUUGAUGGUAGCCACUCUUUCUGGAGUUAGAUGAAAUCCCAAUGCUGUUCUAAUUUGCAUUUCUCAAAUGACCAGUGAUCGUGAACAUUUCUUCAUGUAUCUUUUUGCCAUUUGUAUAUCUUCAUCUGAGAACUGUGUGUUCAUCUCAGAUUUCCAUUUUUGAAAAGGGUCUGACUGUCUGACUAUCUUUGUAGUUCUGUUUGCAUCUUCUAAUCUGUUGCAUUGGUUGUUGGGUGUAUUUCUUUGCCAGUACCAUGCUGAUUCUAUCACUGUGGAUUUGUAGUAUAAUUUCAAGUCAGGAAUUGAGAGGCUUCCUGCAUUGCCUUUGUUGCCCACAAGUGCCUUUGCUAUUCUAGGUUUCUUCUGUUUCCAAAUGAAUUUUAGGUGUGUUUUCUCUAGAUCUGUAAGGUAUGUUAGUGGUAUUUUGAUGGGGAUUGCAUUAAAGCUGUAAAACAGUUUUGGGAGUGUGCUAUUUUCAUAAAGUUGGAUCUUGCUAACCAAGAGCAAGGAAUAUCCUUGCAUUUUCUAAUAUCCUUGUUAUGGAUUAAGAACUGGUAGUCAACUUAACACCAGCUGGAUUACAUCAGCACGGCACUGAGCAAAGAUGCUCCACCUGAGGAAAGUUGCCAAGAUAAAUAGGUGGAGAAGAAGAGAGGGUUGAGGUGUUAAUGCGUUGUUGCAUGGAGGCAUUGUGGGUUUUCCUACAAGUUGCUGUUUAAGCUUUUGGUUCUCCUGGAGAAGCUUUGGUCCUCACAUUCGAGCAUUGCUUCCUGGCUCCGGAGGGGAAGACAUGUGCUGCUUGGUCUCCAGGAUGAACUCGUCACGCUGCUUCCUGGCAUGUACCAGACUGUGCUUGUGGUCGGAGGAGCUCAGGGCCUCCGUGUCACUGAGGAUGGCUGUGGUGCCUUUCAGGAUAGCCCUGGUCUUUGUUAUGCUCAAGCAUUUGGGUGGCUGAAACAGGAGAAUCAUUGAAGUUCGAUACCAGCCUGAACUACAAAAUGAGCUCAAGGCCAGCAUGGAACUGCAUAGCAAGACCCUGUCACACAAAGACAAAAAAAUGCAGCAUUUAAUGGACUCUCAAUAUCAUUGGACACUAUAAAAAAUUUCACAAUGAUGUUUUUCCUCUAUCCACUAAGAAAUAUAAUCCCAAGGGACUCUUGUAAGUUCUUCAAUUGCUCCACCAGCCAAAAACGCAUACUUGCUAAGAUGCAUUUUAGGAAAGUCUCUUUGUGCUUUUCUGUGUAACUAACAGUGGGGAGUUUUACAUCCAGUGUGUUCUGUGAUAUGUUUUCAGGUUCUUGCCAACUUAAUCCAUACAUUCUUUGUCCUACUUGGCUGUCUGGAUCACACACUGUAUACUACUGGCAGAUAUUAGCAUAAUGCAUUAAUGCUUUGGAAUCUGAUGGUUGAAAGUAUCCCCAUGAAGGACCUUGUGCUGUUUACCUCUUACUGCCUACUCUUCCCUUGGUUGUUGCUCUACUUUUUAAUCCUCGUAUUCUCAUUCUCCUUGAAAUCCCUUGCUAUUUCUUAUAUCUUAUAAGAAUGAAACACUAUUCUGCUUAAAUGGUUAUGUUUUGAUCUGCCCUGUUUUGCUGUUAUGCCCUCUUUUUUUCUCAAUCUCCACUCCAUUAUUUACUUUUUCAUUUUUAUCCGUUUAAUUAAAGGGAAAAAAAUAGCAGGAUAUAAUAUAGUAACCCACUUUGACUUUCUAUUAUCUCGAUUUGAAGCCCUGUAUUACUCUCACCAUCUUGUUUUUGACUGAGGUUCCUCUAUUCUGUUUUACUGGAUAGUAUCAGGUUCGAAAGUUUAGGCAUCAGCUGAGAAGAUAAUGAGAUUCAUUAUAACGCCCAUUCUCGUUGACUUUUAUCUACUUUUGAAGACCUACAAUAUCUCCAAUGUUUUGGUUUUGUCGGUUUUGUUCUUUACUGUUUUGUUCAAUUGUAUUACAACUAAUGAUAUAGGCAAUUCUAUUAGAGAUAGCGGGAGGCAUUAUGGUAACCAUUGUUGAUCACCUUGUAUUAUGUUUUUAUAUUAUCUAUUAUGUCCACCCUUUUGACUUGACUGAUUCUGUUCUGUUAUGUCACAUUUGGUUUUACUCUCUUCCAAAAAAGCAAUAAGAACCGUGGGAGCAAUGAAACCCAAAAUGUGUAAUAGUCAUUGUACAAAAGAGAGGAAAAGAAAGUGCUCUAAACUAUAUAACUGCAUGUAUAUUUAAGUGUAUAAGAUAGAAAAUGAUAUCACAGAGUUUAUUGGAUCAUUGAACACAACUGUUUGCAGUAUCAUUGUUGGAAUGUCCACUCUACAAGCUUUAAUUUUGUGACUUGAACAAUUAUUUCUAAGAUGGCAAUAUGUAAUCCAUUAACUAGUGAUUUCCUACUGCACAAAAAAAAAAAAGAAUGCUACACCCCAACGAUACAAUAAUGAACAUAAUAGACCAAUGUUUUGCCUUAUAAGAUUACAUUCUAGAUAGAAGGGCAUACUCACAAAAAAUAUUAAACAGAGAGAAAGAAAAAUAAUUAGAAGCCAUGUGAUUAAAAGGGUAGUGAUCAUGGAAUUGUAACUUCAGGUAAGACAGUCUCACUUGAAAGAAGUGAGGGAGGGAGUCAUAUGGAUGUCUGUGGGCAAAUAUUUCAAGUUAAGAGGACAGAAGAUGUUGAAGAUCAGAGGUAAGAAACUGACUGGAAGGUUUCAAAGAUAAGAGGACAAUGCAGUUAAACUGAAGUGAACAACUGGCCUGAAUGUUUUCACCUAAGAGUGGAAACAGAGAAUCAGAUUCUGUAGGGCCUUAUGAGGCAUUGUACCAAUUUUAUCUUUCAUUCUACUAAGAACAAUUUUUUUUCAUUUAACAGUUAUUUAUUUUAUUUUUUGAAACUUUAAAUGGUCUUUUAUUUUUUUAAUUUUUUUAUUUUUAAAAAGAAAAACAAAAGAGGCCAGAAAUAAUACAGAAUUUUAAAAAACACUAAGAAAUCGACACUAGAUAAUAUGUUACUCAUUGUUAUCUUAGAAGUAGUUGCAAGAUAAAUAACCAUACUCCUAAUUCUCUGUUAGUUCAUCAUAAAGAACAACUUUUGAAAAAAGAUAACAAGAUUACUCUGGCUGCUGUGUUGAGAGCAGACUAUGCAGAUAGGUGAGCAAUAGUGGAAGCAGCAAGACAAUUAAGAUAAUUAACAUCUAGGCACAAAAUGCUAACGAUUUUGACCAAGACAGUGGCACUGGAGCUGGCGAGAAGUGGUUGCAUUCGGAGCCUGAUUCUGAAGUUUAUGUAACUCAUAAAUAUGGAUAAUGGUGAAAAGAGAGCAGUAAGGAUGAGUCUCAGAGUUUUAGUCUAGACAAAUGGAAGUAAUAGAGUUGUACUUUACUGACAUGUCAUAAAAAAGUGUUUAGAAUGACAAUUUUAGGAAUUAGUUUGUGGUCUGUUGUGGUUGUAAAGCCUAUAAGGCAUCCAAAUAUAGAAGUUUGGUAAACAGCUGGAUAUAUAAGCAUGGAGAUGUGGGAGAAAUGUGCUCAUUUUGGAUUCCAUCAAUAGACAGGUAAUGUUCAAGGAUGGGUGAGAUUACUAAAGAGUAUCCCAAAGCUCAAUAGAUAAAGAGUAAGGCUAAUACAUCUUAGGGUACUCUAUAAACUGGUUUAACAAGAAGAAUCAGCAACAGAGAUUGACCCUGAGAGGCCAAUGAAAUAGGUAAGUGUGGGGUCCUAAAAGCCAAGCAGCGAGGGAAUGGUUGAUCAAAAAAGUCAUAAGAAAAGACAAUGCAUAAAUGUACUUAAGCAUUGGGUUGAGUAAUACAAAGGAACAAUGUAAAAGCUGAUUUGGGUAGUGAGAUUAUGAAGUGUUUGAUGGCAAGUAAAAAUUGAAAACUUCCACUGAAUUGGGGUACAUACCAACCUUGCCUUAUGCACUUGCUGCUUGAGCCCCAUGGUAUCAAUAAAAACUAUAUCACUGAAGAAGAAUGGAUGAACUCCUAGAGCGACUUUGACUGUGACACUUGUUUGAAAAUACAAGUUCUGGCCAGUGUAGUAAAGAAUCCAGUCAAGAAUCAAUUGUAAUACAGUAGCCUCGUCUCAUUUAUAUGUUGACUUCUCUGUGGAAGGGCUUUAGCUGAAAACACCCAUCUAACCAAUGCAAACAUGCCACAGAGGCUGUGACUCCUACAAGAAUACAUGAAUGAAUAAAAACAGAUGGAUGACUAGAGAGAGAAAAUUGAUGAAGAGAAGGAUGGGAUAUACUGGGAAAAAGUUUUUAACACCAUUGUCAAAUCAAACUGAUAUACAUAUACUGCAAUAACUUAAAGAACUGAGAGAGUGAGAAGAGUAAUACAACGGUGGUAAGGGAAAAUCAGAAAAGACGGGGCUGGGGAUUUAGUUCAGUGGCAAAAGCACCUGCCUUGCAAGCAGUGAGUUUGAUCCCCAGUACCAAUAAAUAAAAAAGGCAAAUCAGAAAAGAUGAAAAAUAUGAUAAAAAUAAAAAUUCUUGAAAUUCUUUAGUGAUGUUUCUGAAAAAAAGAAAUUAAAUUUACUUACUGUUGAUGCAUUUGAAGAUAAUUAAUAUUUUAUUCAGUGUUUCCUAUGUACCACACAUUUUAUUUAUUUUUUUGGAAUUUAACAGUGAUUGUUACAUUACAUAAUCAUUAUCCUCAAAGUAAUUGCCCAGGCUAUCAGAUACAGGCAUUCAAGAUUGAUCAAACAAUGUAAUUCAUCUUGAGAAGUUGGUACAUGUACAUAGCACAUCUUAAUUACUUUUCGUCCCUUUUCCUUCCCUUUUCCACCUCUUAAUUUCCUUCCUCUUUGCAGAAGAUCUAUCUCCCUGUUUACAAUUAUCUAUCUCCACAGAUAUUAAUAUAGUAUUGGCUGCUCUUUUGGUCAAAUAUUUGACUAUAUUUGCUACUAUAGUAUUCUAUGAGAAUAAUAUAAAAUACUAAGUAAAUUAUACCUAAAUCAUCACUAGAAAAGAAAAUAGCUAUUUACUAAUUUCAAAAGUCUAUGCAAACAAUAACAUUAUUUAAAUAUAGCAAGUCUACCUCCUACAGAUUAUGGCUAACAUAUUACAUUAUUUCUCAUAGCAGGAGAACUAGGUCUUAAAAGGUAGAAGCCAAACAAGUGUAAAGUCAUAUUAUUUCUUUAUAUUUUUGAUAUUUGGUUUUGUGGUGUUAGGGACCAAAUCCAAAGCUUUGUAUAAUUUAUUUCUAGAGAUGAAUGGAAAUUAAUAUUUACCUGCUUGUACAGUUACAAAUGAGUUCAUCUUGAAAUAAGUCUUAACCAUAGGAAUCACCAAAUGUACCCGAGCCUGAUACAAUGGUAUACCCUUGUAGUUCCUGCUACUUGGGAAGCAGAAACAGGAGAAACCUUUGUGACCAACAGUUCAAAACCAAUCUGGACAACAUAGUAAGUCCCAGUCUGAAAAAUAAAUGUUCGACACAAGUUCAAGAAAAGAAGGAAUCCAGAUCUAUUAUUUUACUCUUAUAUGGGAUGUUCUUAUGUUUUGAUCCCAAAGAUCUGUGGAUAUCAUUCCCUGGUAUUUGUUGACUGAAUUUCACAACAGGAUGCAGGACAUGACAUACAGCUUAGUGAUUUUUCCUAUUAUAGAUGAUGCCGGGAAAAACACUAACUCGUUUAAGCAUUUGAGCCAAGCAAUGAAAUAGUCAUUAAAAUGUUAGAAAUUUCCAAGUAUGCUUUCUCACAGCAAUUCAUUGUAAAAAUGCAAAAAUUCAAUGUUUGUAGCCAACUUUAGCAACAAAUUACACCUCUAUAUUAUGUACAAAUUAGUAAUAAAUAGGUGCAUGUUUACUUAGAACUGCAACAAUGUGGAAUAAAAGUAUCACUUAUUUUCUUAUUCAUCAUUCUUUGAAUGAAUUCUAAUCUACUUGUUAUGCUUUCACCACAUUAAACAAUUUGGUAUCUAAAAUAAACAAGAAAGUAGUGUAUGUAAAGGGUCCAUAUAUAGAAGACUUUCAGGAUGGGGCUAUCUAAUUUUCUUUCACUUCCUCAAAAACAAGGAAUACAAAGAUCUGCUGGUGGAGAACGGUUUAAAAAUUAGAACCUUUGUAUCUUAGUAUGCUCAGGCCACCAUUACAAAUCCCACAAACUGAAUGGUUUAAACAGUAAGAAAUUUAUUUCUCACAGUUCUAGAGGCUGGGGGACUGAGAUCAGUGUGAUUGCAAAGUAGAUUUCAUUAAGUUCUCUAUUCUUAACUUGCAGGAGUCUGCCAUUUUGUUGUAUCUUCUCACAAUCUCUUCUUUGUGCUAAUGUGAACAGAGCAAGCUUGAGUUCUCCAGUGAUCUCAUGUACCUCUCAGAAACACUGUCUCCAAACACCAUCACAUUGAGAGUUAGAACUUCAACAGAUGAGUUUUGGAGGGAUGUAAACAGUCUGUAACAUAUUAUAAACAUCUAUAAUAUGCAUUUCAAUGCCAGUACCUUUGAGAUUAUUUAUUUUCUUUUGGAUAAAAGAUACAAAUCAGAUGCCUUUGUUAUGGCUUCAUUGUUUGCUCAACUAAAAUUUCCCAUUAAUUUGAUUAUCAGUGUUAAUGUAUGCACAGUACUUACCAAUGGUUGUUGACAGUUAGCAUUGUGUCUGAUUGGUCAGUGUCCAUGCUGUACAUGUCAUUAAAUAUUUUAAAUAUUAUUUCCUGAUUUUGCAUAUUCUUUGUUAUAUAUAUAUUUUUUGUUUGUCUGUUUGGUUAUUGAGAUAGAGUCUUACUGUUCAGUUUAGUCUGGCCUUAAACUCACUAUGUAGAUGAGACUGGCCUGGAACUCACAGUGAUCUUCCUGCUCAGCCUCUUGAGUGUUGGGAUUAUAGGUGUGUUCCAUCAUGCCCUAUUUUACAUACUCUUUAUUUGAUAAAUGUAUUCUUCAUUAAAGCAUAUAAGUAAAUCAAAGCAUUUAGAAGUAGGAAUAUUAAAAAAUAACCAGCUCCUAUUCUCAUUAGUACUUGCAUGUUAUUUUCUGAUUUUUAUGUAAUUCAAGCUUAAAAAUUAACUAAGUGAUCCCAAAUACUGAAAGUUAGAGUUAGAAAUCUCUUGAGUAAAAUUUAAAACUUUUUAUUGGGGUAACAUUUGUACAAAAUUGAUCUUUUUUUGGUAGUGCUGAGGAUUGAAUCCACGGCCUCAUGCAUGUUAGGCAAACACCAUACCAUUGUGUUGUACCUCCAGCCUAAAACUAUUUUAAAGUGUACUCACCCCAUUAUCUAGUUCCUGGAAAUAAAUGCCACUCUCAUUAAGCAGUUACUUCCUGAUUCCUCUUUGGUUGUUUCUGAGAGAUGCUCCUAAGAUGCUUUCUGUUUGCAUUUGCCUUUUUAGACAUUUCGUACAAGAUGAGUUGCACUACAAAUAACCUCAUAAGUUUGUUUUCUUUCAAGUGGCAUUAUGUUUUGUAGAUUUUUCCAUAUUGUACCACAUAUCUGUAUUUUAUUAUUUUUAUGACCAAUUCAUAUUCCAUCACAUGUUUAUUCCAUAAUUUUUUGUUUGUUGCUGUAUAUUAAGGCAAUUUCUUCCUUUUGGUUGUCAAGUUAGACUUCUAAAUAUCCAAUUAAGACUUUAAAUUCCUCCAUCUGUGAGUCGACCCCGCAUUAUAAACUUAAAUACCCUAGCAGAAGCAUUUUAUUGUUUCAUGUGUCUGUGUCCUUGGAUGGCUGUGUUAUUCCAGUUGCUGUUUUCCUAGUUGAAAAUUAAUGGAAGAAUUGAUCUCAUAUACUUAGCCUCCUCAACAGCAAACAUUAAUCAGAAUCUACAAUAGCAACUUUUCCUUUGCUUUCUCCUCUUGCCUGUUGAUCAGUUCUUUCCUAAACAUAUUACCUUUCCAUUGCUACUUUCACACUCCUGCUUUCUUUCCAUCUGGUAUUUGUCAUCCAUGUACUUGGUCCUCUGUGAGAAAUCUGACAAAUUCAAUUGUACUUUUUUCCUGAUUUAGACCAUCCUUUGAAAUUAUUUGGUGCUACAAAACUCAGCCAUUGUAAUUCUAACCGUAAAAACCAUUUUUUCCCUGUGGGUACAGUGAUGCAUAUCUGUAAUCCCAGCUACUAAGGAGACUGGGGCAGGGAGAUUGCAACUUUGAGGCUAGCAUGGCUAGCUCAGUGCUUCCUAGUUUCAAACCUCAGUAACGCAAAAGCAAAACAAAACAAAAAUCAAACCAAGAUCAACAGCCACAACAACAGCAGCACCAGUAGCAGCAGCAGCAGCAGCAGCAGCAACAAUAACAACAAUAACAACAACAACAACAACAGACACCUGUUUUGUGUGGUGCUGAAACCCAGAGCCUUAUGCAUGCUAUGCAAGUAAUCUACCACUGAGCUGUUCCUCCAGCGCAGACAACCAUUUUUACGUUUAGUUUUUGGCUUGGUGGCAAAAUAGUACAUUUUAGUUACAUAAACCAAUUCUUAUAUAUGUUAUUUCCCUGACAUAACAGAAUGUAUUAAUCCAGUUAAGCUGUUUACUUGUUCUGAAGAAGAGAUAUGAGAUUUAUCUACAUGAUGAAGAAGAGGUCAUGAUGAAGAAGAGGUCAGUAGGGAUAGAUGACAUGAAGGUGCCCAUCAAAUAAUGCUAUGUAGCAGCUGACUUUUCUGAUCUACAGAAGCCCUUUCCAGGCAGCUUUAUAAGAUCUAUAACCUUCACAUUUCUCCUCAAGGUAAAUUUAUUGGGGAUGUGGUUCUGACCUGAAUUGCUCCUAAAAUUUUUUAUCAAUCAGAUUCUAAAGCUAUGUUUGGAAAUCUUGCUCAAUGUUAGAUUAUUUGCUUAGUAUGAAUGAAGCAUUGGGUUCUCUACCUAGCACUAGAAAAAAAAAAGAGAGAUUCUACAACUAGCGGAGGCAACGUGAAUAUCUCCUCAUACAGUGUUUACUUACCCAGUAAAUCAAUGAUGGUAAACCUUUUAGAGCUUUCAGUGAUAUAAACAGCCCUCUAUGGCAUAUGUGCCACAGAUUCAAAACCAUUGUACUAGCCAAACUGAGCGCAUGCUUGCUAACCUGGGGCAUAAACCUUUUGGGGACAGUGGGAGAAUUUGGUAUUUAUAUUUUAUGCAAAACAUUAGGACAGUCAUUAUGGGAAGAGGUAAAUAUGUCUUAGAUGUCUAUUUAUUUAGUUGAUAAUAUCAGUUUAUUUUAAAAACAGUAUACAAUAUAGUUGACUUUGGGGUAUGCUGUUCUGUGGAUUGUAGUAUAUCAUUUUAAUUUAAAUUUUGACAUAUACAAAAUGGAAGCACUGAAAGGCUUAAACCAGUCUUAUAACUGAGGUAUUUGCAGGUAAAAAAUGAAUAUGGAAUUUUGAGGAAAUUCACAAUGUAUUUCUGUCAUCCUCCAUCUCACAUUUCAAAUUAAAUAUGAAGUUACAAAUAGA